rnacentral:ncRNA from 1 species
AUAAAACAGCACGGGAGCUUGGGAGAAACCAGGCUGAGAGGAUGGCUACCUUGCCAUCGACCGUUGAACCUGAACUGGGUAAUGCCAGCGGAGGAAUUGUCAUAUACGACAC